GGGGAAUCUUGCGCAAUGGGCGAAAGCCUGACGCAGCAACGCCGCGUGGGGGAUGAAGGCCUUCGGGUUGUAAACCUCUUUCACCAUCGACGAAGCCCUUUGGGGUGACGGUAGGUGGGGAAGAAGCACCGGCUAACUACGUGCCAGCAGCCGCGGUAAUACGUAGGGUGCGAGCGUUGUCCGGAUUUAUUGGGCGUAAAGAGCUCGUAGGCGGUUUGUCGCGCCGGCCGUGAAAACCUACAGCUUAACUGUGGGCUUGCGGUCGAUACGGGCAGACUUGAGUUCGGCAGGGGAGACUGGAAUUCCUGGUGUAGCGGUGAAAUGCGCAGAUAUCAGGAGGAACACCGGUGGCGAAGGCGGGUCUCUGGGCCGAUACUGACGCUGAGGAGCGAAAGCGUGGGGAGCGAAC
rnacentral:rRNA from 1 species